AUUGAACGCUGGCGGCAGGCCUCACACAUGCAAGUCGAGCGAGCGGCGGACGGGUGAGUCAUGUCUGGGAAACUGCCUGCUGGAGGGGGAUAACUACUGGAAACGGUAGCUAAUACCGCAUACCAUCAUCUUUGCCCAGAUGGGAUUAGCUAGUCGGUGGGGUAACGGCUAACCUAGGCGACGAUCCCUAGCUGGGCUGAGAGGAUGACCAGCCACACUGGAACUGAGACACGGGCCAGACUCCUACGGGAGGCAGCAGUGGGGAAUAUUGCACAAUGGGCGCAAGCCUGAUGCAGCCAUGCCGCGGGUGUGAAGAAGGCCGUCGGGUUGUAAAGCACUGUCAGCGGGGAGGCGUUACCCGAAGAAGAAGCACCGGCUAACUCCGUGCCAGCAGACGCGGUAAUAC
rnacentral:rRNA from 1 species